rnacentral:lncRNA from 1 species
UUCUGAACUUCCUUGACGACCUUCUCCACAUUUGCGGUCGGGCUACCCUUCCUCCACACGCUCUUCAGCGUCUUCGACUUGCGGAGAGCCGAACUCUCAGGAUCCGGCCUGCCUACUCUAGGACUAGUGUUGUUUAACCUACCUUCAGUCUUAGCCUCUCUACCAGUCAAUUUUACAGAGGUCGAUGCUUCCAGCUUCUCGGCUUUCUCCAAGACCUCCCCGAGGGACUCUAUCACCUUCUCCCUGUCCUCCGCUGCCCUUUCUAUCCGGUCGUCACGGACGAACUUUGCGGGGCUCCAGGGGGCCGGGCUCGCGGGUUCCGCCGGAGAACUCGGGCGCGCGCUCAAAACUGGUUUGGGAGCAGGCUUGAGAACAAUGUCGGAGUUCUCAUCCUUGCUGAUGCUGCUGGCGCCGCUGAUGGGGCUGCUGGCGCCCCUAAUGGCGGACUCCAUGCUCCCCUUCUCCAUCAAAUCCGUCCUCACCAUGCACUUGCAGACACCAUGAGCCCAUCGCCGCGUCAGAAGGGAAUUCGAGUAGGUAAUCCUAGAAACCACCCGAAUUCUCCCCAGCACCAGAGGGGACGAGCAGCAGUCCAGCCCCCCAGAAGGGCUAGCCCUCGCGCCUCCCAACGUCGCCAGUGUCGCAGGAGAGGCCAUCAGGUCGUCUUCACCAAGAACUCACGAUCCAGAGCAUAGCACGCGAACGGCGCAAAGGAAGGCUCCUCCUUCACUCUCCGGGCGGGCUCCGGGGGCCGCUAGAGGCAAAACCCAGUUGAUAUUCAACGGGCAUGGGGCAGAGAAUCGCUCCGGGGAAGUUACCCGGCUGCGGAGAAGAGAAGAUAAAAAAACCCCGGGUUCUUAAUUAUCCGGGGGAGGAACCAGAAGCCUCGACCUCCGCCUGGCGGCAGCAACCACGGGCAGAGCAGUAAUGCCAAUGGAGGAGGAGGCGCGCGAGAGAGGGAGAGGGUUGGGUUACCUGGACGGGAGGGCGCCUCGGGGGCUCUCUCAGUUUACCCUCCUUCCUCUCGGCGGAAGCGGGAGAGAAGAGAGGAGAGGGACGUGCGGGCCUGAGGAUUGGGUUGCCCUUCUCUCUCCUCCCCCUCUCUUCCGACUGGGCUUCAACAUCUCCCCCCUUUGCCUGGUCGGCCUGGUCUGGUCUACCCACCCCCCAUCGCAUCC